UGUCUCUCUCAAGGAAUCAAGGAUCAUGUGCAGUUGUAUAUGUAGGGACUAGAAGCUAUAAAGUAAAUUGAUAAAUGAUAAAAUUGUCAAUGGAGUCUAAAGAUAUAGUUGCUCUUAGAGAUAAUGUAUGACGACUACCACAUCUCAUAUUUUAAUGCAAUUUUCCUGGAGUUCCUGGACAUAUUUUAGACAUCAUCACCAUUGACUUUCCAUGUGCAGUUAAUUUUGGAACUUGGUCCGUACAUUGAGGAGCUCACAAAAACAGGAGGUGUCAUAAAGGAGUUUGUUAACCCAAAACACUAGUAAGACUUCAUUCAAGCCCUCAACUCGGUUAGUGUAUGAUGCAAGACUACCCAAAAACAUGGGAAGAUCAGAAAUGCUCAAGCUUCAAUCAAAUUUUGUACUAAUGCUUUCACCUUUUGUUAGACUAGUCUGUAGCACUUAAAUGCAUUUAUGAAACUAUCUAAACAAUGGAUGUAUUAAU
rnacentral:lncRNA from 1 species